UACGGAGGGUGCGAGCGUUGUCCGGAAUCACUGGGCGUAAAGCGCACGCAGGCGGUUGCGCGCGUGGGGUGUGAAAUCUGGCCGCUUAACGGCCAGGCGCCAUCCCAUACGGCGCGACUGGAGUGAUGCAGAGGUCGAUGGAAUUGCCGGUGUAGUGGUGAAAUGCGUAGAGAUCGGCAGGAACACCCAGGGGGAAACCAGUCGACUGGGCAUCUACUGACGCUGAGGUGCGAGAGCGUGGGGAGCGAACCGG
rnacentral:rRNA from 1 species